CCGCUGCAUUCAUAAUACAGAUGAUUCAUGAAAGAACUGCUAGAGCUCCUGCCCAGAGAAGUGCGCAGCUUCUGGGAGCCUACCUUUGUAAAAACAGGCUGUGCCUAACAGGUGUGCAGAGACAGGUUCACACUUUUCAUUCCUGGUUGUUCCCAGUGGCCCCAGUGGCAUGGAGCUGGCAGCUGUGGCUACCUCUCAGUGAUCUCUGCUACAUCUCGUCCUGGAGCUGCGGCUUCUCAGGAUCGCUGCUGAUUUUUUACCAGGUUUGCAGAAGCACUAGUGAGCAGUUAGUCCAGUUUUUAACAAAGUAGAGGCCAGAUUUCAAUGCUGCUGCCUCUGAGGAAUAGUUAGCAGAGCCCAUAGGGCAAGGAGCAGGAAACCUGCAGGGCUGGGAUGGAGGUUGUGCUUCAGCUUCACAGCGCAGGGCUUGCAGGCUUGGUUUUCCCUACUGAGCAUUUCCUUCUCAGAAGUUCUCCAAUCCCUUAGCUUUGCAAAAUGGCAGAUGUCCAGUCUCGAACUUCUAACAGUUAAAUGAAGUGCUAGGCCUAUGAGACCUGAAAGUGAGUUGCAUGACCUACCAGUGGAUUGCAUGAUUUCUGGAGACAUUUUGUGUCUCUUCUCUCUGAUUACCCCUGUUGAUUAGCCCCUUGUUCUGUGAUAACCAGGGCAACCCUGACAGAGCAUCUGCUGUGGUCUAUAAGGGCUCUCCAUUUCUCAUCCCAUUUGCCAUGUGCUGGGCUUCCAGGGUCACAGCUGGCUGCCACAGUUGUUUUGGCCAGUGUUGUUUUGCAGUGAGAAGGCACGCAGCAGUGAUACACCAUGCUCCUCUCCUUUUCAAAGCUCCUGGCUGAACCCUUGGCUGCUCCGUACAUUGCAGUGUACUGAAGUCAUGUUUCCCCCAGUGCUUGGGAUCUCCUUUUCCAUGCUAGACCAAAGCACCAGCAGAUCUAUGGCUGUGUCCAAAACCUCAUCCCCACAGGGCUGUCUGUGCCCAGCUUGUAUCCUCGUGCAGGUGAUGCCAUGGAUGUGGGAUCCCGCUGACUGCAAGUCUCUGCUUUCCAGGCAUCAGCCUCCAGCCAUGCUUCUUGGCUGCCUCCCAGAAACUGCUUUUAUUGCUGUUCUUUGUGUCACUGCUUAGUCAAUGUGCUUUACAGGCAGCAAGAGACGUGCUCUCUAUCAGGCACAGAAAAACAACCUGCCGUGGGGAUGAGCAAUGGGCACAGCUCCCCCCCACCGCUGUCCCUGGGGCAUGCUCUGGCCUCCUGUUGGCAGCUAAAUGUCAGCAACAGGUCCUUUCUCAGGGGCCAUGGGAACCCAAUCCCUCCCUUUGGGUCAGAUGUAACCACGGGAGCUAAAUUGGAAGCUGCAAUGGUUAUGUAUGGCUAUCAGCUCUCUAGGUGGCAUUUAAAGGCCGUAAGCAACUGCAUGGGUUGGCUUUCAGAAGUUUUGCAAAGUCAGGGAUAUUUGGGCUGGAAGUAGUUUUAAUCCCAGACAAAUUAGGGGAUGUGGUCCUGCCUUUUCCUUUGAAAAGGAAACAAGAUCCCGAGGGAUAGCUGGAAUAAAUACUCCAUAGAUCUUCAAGUACUGAAUCUGUGGGAAUACCUGAAUUGAACAGAAGGAACGGAAAAUGGGAAAGAAAUAAAACCAAACCCAGAAGACUAUGGUUCUUUUAGGGACCAGGAAACAAGGAUUCGUGUGCAAUUUGCAGUCCUGAAGGUUGUUGUCCACCUGGAUGUGGCUGCAUUGUCAGCACCAAUUUAUGGUACAUUUGGAUCGAUUCAGAACAAGACGGGGCUUGAGUAUAAAGUCUGUCCACAUCUGCUUUUUAAGUGAGCACAUUCUGCAUCUCAGAACUUCUGUAUUCAUGAAUUCUUCCAAGCCAACACUAUUGUAAAGGGGGCAGAAAUGAGAGAGCUGUGCUACUCUUCUCCUCACGGAGAAAUCCUGGGAGUGAAGCCUCUUGUCAAAGCAGCCGGGAUGAUGUCUUGCUUACUGGUUGGUAAAAACUGGGCCUCGUGUUUCCAUAGUGCAAGAUUUGUAGAGGGUAAAAAAUAAAAAUAAAAAAAAAAAUGAGGUGGUAUGUCUUGGUGUAUCACAGAAUUCCUUCAAGUCUGUGUUUUAUUUCACGUCUAGAUCAAAAUAUUACCUCCCGAGCCUUGUGCGUGUGGCUUGCUUGCUGGGACACCUGCCAGCCAGGAACUGAGGAUGCCUGGAAUCAUGUGCUCAGCAGGUGUAAACUGCGUGCAGGCAGAGUUCACCUCCUGUCCUUAGCCCCAGAGGCAGUUCCUCUUCAUUAGCGAGGGAAGAUAAAGAAGAUUAUCGUCGCAACCUGACUGCAUGCCAGAGUUAUGUAUCAUAAGAAGAAAAUCUGUUCAUACAUUCACAAAUAUGUUUUCUCCUGGUCUGUCUGUAGGAAAAUGUCUUCAUGAGGGGAGAGAGAGAGGCAGUAAUCGCAGGGAAGUUGAAAGGAAGCGACAGGCAGAAGCAGGACCUCUGCUGAGAUUUCUUCAAGCAGGAUGCAUGCAAUACAGAGAUGGAUGCAACUCCAGUGUAAUUGUGAGUAGUGCACAGCCAUGCUGGCAUCAUGUGGCAGGAGCACGUAUGGCCAUAUCUAACAGGGAAGAGGGAAUGAACAGUGCCCACCUACCACACUCCAGGUAACUCACACCUCCAGUUUUAAGCUUGAUUUGAGCACUUUUACCACUUCCUGUCUGAAAUUCUUUACCUUGUUCCAAUUGCACCUCGAUCACCUGCACUUGAGAUGCUCUCAGUGCCCCUGAACUACAGCACCCUCCUCAGAGGCACACUGCAGAGGCAGCAGCAGUGCCCGGAGCACAUCACCCCCACCCUGCAGCAGCAGAGCCGCUAGGAAGGCACGGUGUCAAGCCUUAGCCACAAGCAGCAAGGUAAUGGCUGGAGCUGCUGAUGGUGAGCACGGAUCUGGGAGGAGACAAAAGCGAAAGAGGUGACGGCAGAAACCCGGCGUUUGAUGUAUUGUGGGACGGAGCGGGAAAUCAGCGUCGCAACGCGUGCAUUGGUGGUUCAGUGGUAGAAUUCUCGCCUGCCACGCGGGAGGCCCGGGUUCGAUUCCCGGCCAAUGCAGCCAGUGUUUUUUGUUUUCUCUCUGUUAUUUUUGUCUUCCUUUGGAAGGCUUUAUUUAUUUACUCGUCUUUCAUUUCGACAAAAAGCAGUUCGCUUUUUAAGGCCGGAGAAGCUGCAGUGCCGCGCUGCUGUUCCGGCCUCCCCGAGGACUCGCCUCAAGCGCACAGCGGUGCUGCGGGGCAGGGCCGCGCCAACCGAGGCAACGGGAGCGUCCCGCAGCUUUGGGGAGGGAAAAAAACAUUUCGAAGCGAAAAGAAGCCGCUGGAGAUGCCGGGGAUUGAACCCGGGACCUCACACAUGCGAAGCGCGCGCUCUACCACUGAGC